rnacentral:rRNA from 1 species
UACUUAGUGGCGGACGGGUGAGUAAUGCUUAGGAAUCUGCCUAGUAGUGGGGGAUAACUUGGGGAAACCCAAGCUAAUACCGCAUACGACCUACGGGUGAAAGGGGUCUUUUAGCUCUCGCUAUUAGAUGAGCCUAAGUCGGAUUAGCUGGUUGGUGGGGUAAAGGCCUACCAAGGCGACGAUCUGUAGCUGGUCUGAGAGGAUGAUCAGCCACACUGGGACUGAGACACGGCCCAG